GACUUUGGUUAUAAACAUACCGAUAUCCCGGCUAAAGAUGUGUUAAGAUUAUCUUCCUAUUACAAAAACUAAACUCUUCAUAAGAAGUUUUAGUCUUUCGGCUAUUACUUUUUAAGGAUCGAUUUUGUUGAACAAACCCUCGAACCAAACCACUCAGCAAGCUCUAAAUCGCCGCCGCCAGGAACGAGAUUAUCUCUUUUUCUUGGAUCAGCCAUCUUAGCUCCGGCAAAAUGGCUGCCCACAAGACCUUCAGGAUAAAGCAAAAGUUGGCCAAAAAGCUGAAGCAAAACCGGCCGAUCCCUCAGUGGAUUAGGAUGAGGACUGGAAACACCAUUCGCUACAACGCGAAGAGGCGUCACUGGCGUAGGACCAAGCUCAAGCUGUAAACUGGACAGCUUGCUCACCAAUUGUUUGCACCGGCCCCGCCGAACACUCCAUUUGUACAUUGCUCGGAAUCCGAAGAAUAACGACCUGGAAUAAACCUGUGCAGACGGUA